UCCUCGUGGAUAGCUCAGCAGGUUAGAGCAUGGUGCUGAUAAUGCCAAGGUUACAGGUUCGAUCCCCAUAUGGGGCA